rnacentral:tRNA from 1 species
GGAGACUUGUCAGAGUGGUCGAACGAGCACGCCUGGAAAGUGUGUAUACCCAAAAGGUAUCGAGGGUUCGAAUCCCUCAGUCUCCG